UGGGGAAUAUUGGACAAUGGGCGCAAGCCUGAUCCAGCCAUGCCGCGUGUGUGAAGAAGGCCUUCGGGUUGUAAAGCACUUUCAGCGAGGAGGAAGGGAUGUAUGUUAAUAGCAUGCAUUUUUGACGUUACUCGCAGAAGAAGCACCGGCUAACUCUGUGCCAGCAGCCGCGGUAAUACAGAGGGUGCAAGCGUUAAUCGGAAUUACUGGGCGUAAAGCGCACGUAGGCGGUUAGUUAAGUUGGAUGUGAAAGCCCCGGGCUCAACCUGGGAAUUGCAUUCAAAACUGGCUAACUAGAGUAUGUGAGAGGGGGGUAGAAUUCCAAGUGUAGCGGUGAAAUGCGUAGAGAUUUGGAGGAAUACCAGUGGCGAAGGCGGCCCCCUGG
rnacentral:rRNA from 1 species